AAGUCCUUUUCAUCUUUCCCUCACGGUACUUGUUCGCUAUCGGUCUCGUGCCUGUAUUUAGCUUUAGAUGGAGUUUACCACCCGUUUUGGGCUGCAUUCCCAAACAACCCGACUCUUCGAAAGCACAUCGCGAGCGCUCGAGCAUUGCCACGUACGGGGUUGUCACCCUCUGUGACGUGCUGUUCCAAGCAACUUAGGCAAACUCGAUGCGCCGGGAAAGUACUUCCUCGAAACUACAAUUCGCCGUUGCAACACAACGGAGAUUCUCAAGUUGAGCUGUUCCCUCUUCAUUCGCCAUUACUGGGGGAAUCCUUGUUAGUUUCUUUUCCUCCGCUUAGUAAUAUGCUUAAAUUCAGCGGGUAAUCUUGCCUGAUCUGAGGUUAAG
rnacentral:lncRNA from 1 species